AGGGAAGGGAAGGGAAGGGAAGGGAAGGGAAGGGUAAAGGAAGGGAAGGGAAGGGAAGGGAGGAUCAGCAACUUAAGUGGUGGUGAUGAGGGUAGACAAGGAGAGACACCAUGGGACAGAGACAAACAGGGAAGGGAAGGGUAAAGGAAGGGAAGGGAAGGGAAGGGAGGGUCAACAACUUAAGUGGUGGUGAUGAGGGUAGACAAGGAGAGACACCAUGGGACAGAGACAAACAGGGGUGGUGACAUUAGAAGCUUGACAGAUGAUAAAAGAGAGAAAGAGGGAUGUUGUAGGUAGAGAGACAGCCCAGGGAUAUACAGAAGAGAAGGAGACCAAGUAAAGUUUGAGACAGAGGCAAAGAUCAGUAGGAUAGAAGGCAGGCAGAAGUAGAGGACAGCCAGCAGUAGGAGGAAGGCAGCAGAAUAAGGGAGCCAGGGGUAAAGGAGCAGGAGAAAGGGUAAAGGCUGAGCUACAAUUAAGGUCAAAGGGUCAAAGGGCAGGUAGAAGUAGAGAGGAUCAAGCAGUAGUAGAUAGGCAACAUUAGCAGGAAGGUAAGGGUCAGAGAGUAGGGUAAAGGGUACAAGUUGAGAUAGAAGUGAAGAUCAGGGGAAGGAGGCAGCC